rnacentral:rRNA from 1 species
GUGCCAGCAGCCGCGGUAAUUCCAGUCACCAAUAGCGUAUACUAAAGUUGUUGCAGUUAAAAAGCUCGUAGUUGAAACUUGGGCCUGGCUGGCGGGUCCGCCUCACCGCGUGCACUCGUCCGGCCGGGCCUUCCUUCUGUAGAACCUCAUGCCCUUCACUGGGCGUGCUGGGGAAUCAGGACUUUUACCUUGAAAAAAUUAGAGUGUUCAAAGCAGGCCUUUGCUCGAAUACGUUAGCAUGGAAUAAUAAAAUAGGGCGUGCGUUUCUAUUUUGUUGGUUUCUAGAGACGCCGCAAUGAUUAACAGGAACAGUCGGGGGCAUCAGUAUUCAGUUGUCAGAGGUGAAAUUCUUGGAUUUACUGAAGACUAACUACUGCGAAAGCAUUUGCCAAGGAUGUUUUCAUUAAUCAGUGAACGAAAGUUAGGGGAUCGGAGACGAUCAGAUACCGUCGUAGUCUUAACCGUAAACUAUGCCGACUAGGGAUCGGGCGAUGUUCUUUUUCUGACUCGCUCGGCACCUUACGAGAAAUCAAAGUUUUUGGGUUCUGGGGGGGAUUUAUGGUCGCAAGGCUGAAACUUAAAGAAAUUGACGGAAAGUUCACCACCAGGGCGUGGAGCCUGCGGCUUAAAUUUGACUCAACACGGGGAAACUCACCAGGUCCAGAUGAAAUAAGGGAUUGACAGAUUGAGAGCUCUUUUCUUGGAUUUUUCAGGUGGUGGUGCAUGGCCGUUCUUAGGUUCGGGGGGGUGACUUGUCUGCUUUAAUUGCGAUAACCGAGCGAGACCCUUUACUUCUUGCUAAUAAGCCAGGCCUAGCGUUUGGGCUGGCCGCCGGCU